rnacentral:misc_RNA from 1 species
CUAAACCAAGAAUCCCUCCAGCAGCACUCUGGAUUAAAUGGAAAGAUUGGCAUCAAUAUCAGCUCAACCAGAAAAUAGAAAAGAAGAAUUGAGAUCAGUAACUUCGAAUGUAAGCUCACAUGCAAACGGAUGACAAGGGAAAAGCCAUAUCAUUGAGGUGGCAAACAGCUCGGUCUCUCUCUCUCUCUCUCUCUCUCUCUCUCUACACACACACACACACACACAUGUGGGAUCUUAUCUUACCAUUGCAGGAUUGUGGCCAAACAAUGCCC